rnacentral:rRNA from 1 species
ACAGGCCGAUGACUCCCAAGAGCUCUUAUCGACGGAGUCGUUUGGCACCUCGAUGUUGACUCAUCACAUCCUGGGGUUGAAGAAGGUCCCAAGGGUUCAAUUGUUCACCGAUGAAAGUGGUACGUGAGUUGGGUUCAGAACGUCGUGAGACAGUUC